rnacentral:ncRNA from 1 species
GGUGCGUGUCCUUAAUAGAAACAGGUUUGGACGGAAUCUGGAGGUUGAAAAGCGGACGCAAUUUCCGACACGUACC